CCGUUUCGCUGCGACACACCGCAACGAAACUGCCCCCGCAAAGGUCGCUACAAACCACUCUUCAUACCAUACAUCUCCACACACACACACGCGCGCGCGCACCAUUGGGGGCGAGCCUCCUCGCUCCUCGCGCACGGGGUCACAUCCAUCACGGACGGGGGGAGGGGCAGACGGCGAAAAGAGAACGAAAAGAGGUGCACAGGCACGCGUGGCGGAACCGAGUUCGUCUUUGCGGUGGAGCCGUUGGAAGCAGGAGGCGUGCGCGCGUGCUGCACGCGUCCAACGACAUCGCCGCCUACCCACCCCAUCACCGUCUGUAUGUGUGUGUCUGUCUGUCUGCAUGUUGGUGUGGGCUCGUGUUUCUCACGUGAAGUACACCAGUGCCACGGAUGCGCACAAGCACACACGGAGAUAGGGAGAGAACGAUCCAUUAUCAUCCCAUCAUCGUCCGCAGCAGCGCGGCCCUCCUGUGCUUCUCCGUCUUGCCGUCGGUCUCUCACGUGUCCAGUGUGUCUCCGUCUCUGUGCUUCCGCUUGCUUGAUCCGUACGUGGGGAGGACAAGGCCUGGGCGAGUGCCCUGUAAAAAGCGCGAGAUCACACACUGCCCAUGGAGGAGGCCCCCUGCUCCUCCAAGACGGACACCGGCGCCGCGACUGAAGCGAAGACGAGUACGACAGCGGCAGCUGGGGCGAGCAGCAGCACAGGUGUGGUGAAGGCGAAGUCGUCGUAUCGUGAGCUGUGCAGGCCGACGUCGCUCUUCCCCCCGCCCGCACUCUCUCAUGCGACGCCGGAUGGAAGCAACCGAAUCAGCACGCCGAGCAGCUCGGCGCCGCCGCCGCCGCCGCUGUCGCCGACGCUGCGUGACCGCGCGGCCGCUGUGAAGGAGGGCGGCCACAACACGAACAGCAGCGGUGCCGGUGGCUCCCGUCUCUCUGGCACGAGCUGGGCGCGCCUCACAACGACGAGGCGCGUUAGCCGGACCACAGAGGCCCUUCGCCCUCCUCCUCUUGUGCUGCACGCCACCGAGAACGACGCAAGCAGCGGGCAGGGUACGACGGUGGCAACGACUGAAGGUGCAACGGCCGCCACGGUGGAAUCUGGCCACCCGCGCGUGCACAACCGCAGCAUCACCUCCACGGAAGACCUUCAACUUGCCGUCGCCGUCCCGUACUGGACCUCGAGCCUUCACGACAUGCUGGCGCCAUCGCUACUCACCGCGGCAGCAGCAGCAGCAGCGGUGACGCGUUUCGCUACGCAUAGCAGCAGCCGCAGAAACGCAGUUACCGGUAGCGGCGCGCGUGAGCCAUGUUCUUCACCACGCGCCUGCCCUAUGCAGAGAGCGAUGCAGCACGCCCUCGCGCAUGUCUUGCAGCGAGAGCGGGUGCGAGCGCUCAUCACCCGCGCCUUGCACUUGUGGCACCUGCACCGCGCACUUCGGCGGCACGGACGGCAACAUGGCGAUAGAGAAACCGCCGAUGGAGUGGAGGGGCGACGAGAGACGCCGUCACCGACGUCCCGCGUCGGCCAAAGACGUCAAGGCAAGCCGUCGGCAUCCCGGCUGGCGUGGACCCCGCUCGGUGACGUCGGCAUCGGCGUGCGCUGCGGCGGCAUCGCCUCCGACGAAGGCACCGUCUACAUCGAUGCCGACGGUGAGGAGGAACUGCACGACGUGGACGACGGCGCAGAGGUGCCACGACACACAGAGCUGCAGCGGUGCCAACAGCAGCGGCAUCACCGCGGCCGCCGUACCACCGACGGCGACUCCAGCCUGUCGGAUGCGGGCGCCCACGUGGACGGUGCUUACGACCGUGUCGACAACCCAGGCACCUCGACGCGGCCGCUGGCGCCAGCGAGCCGCAGCAGCGUCGCCCCCGUCAUCGGCGCCGCAUCCCGGGCCACCAGCAUUGUCCCCCCGCUCUCGGCGCUGAGCAACGCGUCGCAAAGCCAGUCGCUGGCUCGCGACAUGUCGUUCACGUCGGUGAGAUGGUCGAUGAGUUGUCCGUUCCAGACACCGCUGCAGCCGCAGCGGCAAGACGAGCUGUGCAGCACAUCUUUCCCCCAGACGCCAGUGGCGGCGUCCGUGCCAGAGAGCAGAACCGCCGACGGCGCCGGGGUCUCGCUCUCCGUCGGCGCUGCAGCGCUCGCCGAAGCAGCAGCCGGGUCGCUAGGGAGCGCGGGCGCCACAGGAACCACCGUGACCGCGGAAGCGGCAGCGGAGCGGCGGAAGCGCAUCGUGCAGAACCCCCUCUCCAGCAAGUCACCACGGAACGCGUCACCGCACCAGUGCCUCCACAACUGGCUCUCCAGCGGUGUCGGUGGUGGUUCAACGUCGAGCUUCGAUGACUCGGGCUCCCGACCGCAAUCGUGCUUGCAGUCGGACAGGGAGGCGAUCGCUGCGCAAGGGGGCCCCCCCUUGUGUCUGCGCCGCCUACGCAGCGGCGCUGGCGGCGGAGCGGGACUCAUCGCGAGCGACUCGGAGGACCGCAGCAUCUCAUCGCUGAUAAAUACGCCGCAGGGCCGCCAGACGGACGCUGCCAGUAGCUGCAGCGGUGCUUGGGGGCCGUUGAAAGACGGUGACUCCACACACAGCGACAGCACGUCACCGAUGCCGACGGUCACAGCAACGACGGUUCCUCAGCUGCUGGCGCGCGAGGCGGAAGACCGGCUGGCGUUGCAGACAACAGAGGAGCGACGGCGCCUCCGCCUUCUGCGCGGCAUGUCCGCCGUUAUGGAUCAGCUCAUGAUGGCGGCGCUACAUCAUCGAUCGGGUGAGCGUGGCUUGCACCCCUCGUUGCGCACCUCCACCGCACCAUCGCCGGUGCUUUUAGAGAGCGACGACGGUUGUGGCAUGGACUUCCUGUGCGCCUGCACUGCGGAGACGCAAAAUGAAGGCACCACGAGGGGUAGCGCAGGGGCCAUCGAACCAGCAGCAUCGGCUCGCGAACCCCGGCCCUCCUUGCCACCUCCAGUCCUGCAGGCCGCCACGUCUAGGAGAACGCAGCAGCGAUUGAAUUACGACGGUGAUGUGGAGUGCACGCAGCAGCAUCUGCAACGAAGUGGGCGCAUCGAGGGGGAGGAGGGCUGCCUGUGCGACGUGACCGCCAAGAAUGCCGAGCGUUGCGUGAGCCGCGACAGUGCCGAGGCGGUUGAUAUGGCUACUAGUCCUAGCAAGUGCUCAUCGCAAACCUUGGGGUCCACAAGCCAGUGGGGCGCGCACGUGCUCGACGCCGUCACGAUCACAACAGACAGUCAUAGCAGCGUGGUUUUUCCAGUCACGAGCAUCGCGCCGACGUCGCACUUCACGCCCUGCUGAUGCCGUCAUCCGCGUUCUCGUAGAGAGUUCGUCUUCGCGCGGCGCGUAACGGUGAACAGCGCUGAGAAGCGCGUCUUUUUUUUUUGUUGUUGUUGUUGUUGUUUCUCUGUUCGUUGCUCUUCUUCAGCCGUCUCGCUACAGCACUCAUGACGGGGUGGUUGGCGCAUCUGCAAAGUCUGUGCCACGCGAGGAGGGACACCGUGAAAGGCGACGCUGCACAGGGAUAGAAGUGCCGCGGCGACGCUCGGCGCAUCUCCCCACCCCUCCCCUUCUUCCCCACCCACCCGUGCUGGAUGGCGAGAAAGAGGCUGCCCGCAUACCUGUCACGCGGUCCAGCAAGCCUGGACGCGCGUUGUCCAAAACCGAAGGUGCACGCCGACGUGAGCGCCCAUGUGCGUGGACGAAGGCUCUGCGCCAUGCCAUGGAAGAGGAGGAGGACGACGACGACGACGACGACGAUCGCGUCACACGUGUGGAAGCGAGCCCGAGCGCUCACGGCGCGUGGACGACGAUGAACGACUUGAUCGCCGCAACGGAUGGAAGGAAAAGGUUCCGUCGUCGGGCGAGCGUCGAGCGUGCAGCGGUAGAGCGAGCCCGCUGUGCUUAUAUAUAGAUAAAUCCGCCAGACUAUCAUGCUGCCUAUGGACCACACCACCACCACCACCACCACCCUCCCUCUCUCCCUCCCUCCUGAAGGGAGGGAAGGAGGGGAAGGGCCUGGCAUCGUGCACGGUGCGAUGCGCAUGUCCUUCAUCACGUCCUCGUGCGUCGUUACACGACGGCACAGCAGCAGCGCGUGUCUGUGUGUGCGCGCGCGGCAGCGUCGGAAGCCCGUGGGGGGGGGGAGCGCCGAGCCAGCGCGUCUUUGCGUGCGUGUGUUGUCGGGGUCUCGAGCAACUCCCCAUGGAAAAUGGCGUGCGGGUGGGAUGGGGGGUGCAGUGCGUGCGCUGAGGGAACAGUGUUGGCGCACACGCACUGCUCAAGAAGCGUCAUCCGGCUGCUUUCGUUUAUCUUAUCGCUUCUUUUGGUGCUUUUCUGCGGCUGUUGCGGUGGUGGUGGUGGUGGUGGUGGUGAAGCGUCCGUGUGGCGUGCACGACCGUGAUGACGCUUCACCCUCCUCCUCCUCUCUCCACUGCUCCUGAGCAGCGCAACCUCACGACCCCAUCGUCCGUGUCCGCCACGGCGCAGCACCUCAUUUCU
rnacentral:misc_RNA from 1 species